GUAGAAGCGGCAGGUAGAAGCGGCGGGUAGCAGUGGUAGGGUAGCAGCGGUAGAGUAGCAGUGGUAGGGUAGCAGUGGUAGGGUAGAAACGGCAGGUAGAAGCGGUAGGGUAGGAGCAGCGGUAGGUAGAAGCGGUUGGUAGCAGUGGUAGGGUAGCAGCAGCGGUAGGGUAGAGGCAGCAGUAGGUAGCAGCAGUAGGGUAGCAGCAGUAGGUAGCAGCGGCAGGUAGCAGCGGUAGGGUAGAAGCGGCAGGUAGCAGCGGCAGGUAGAAGCGGUAGGGUAGUAGCGUUAGGGUAGCAGCGCCAGGUAGAAGUGGUAGGGUAGAAGCAGCGGUUGGUAGCAGUGGUAGGGUAGCAGCGAUAGGGUAGCAGAAGUAGGUAGCAGCAGUAGGGUAGCAGAGGUAGGGUAGAAGCGGCAGUAGGUAGCAGCAGUAGGGUAGGAGCGAUAUGGUAGCAGGGGUAAGGUAGCAGCAGUAGGUAGCAGCAGUAAGGUAGCAGCAGUAGGGUAGAAGCAGUAGAUAGCAGCAGUAGGGUAGAGGCAGUAGGGUAGGAGCAGUAGGGUAGAAGAAGUAGGGUAUCAGCAGUAGGGUAGCAGGAGUAGGUAGCAGCAGUAGGGUAGCAGAAGUAGGGUAGCAGCAGUAGGGUAGAGGAAGUAGGGUAGCAGCAGUCAGUAGGUAGAAGUGGUAGGUAGCAGCAGUAGAUAGCAGCAGUAGGUAGCAGCUGUAGGUAGCAGGGGUAGGGUAGCAGCGGUAGGUUUCAGCGGUUGGUAGCAGCGGUAGGGUAGCAGC
rnacentral:lncRNA from 1 species